rnacentral:rRNA from 1 species
UACGGAGGGUGCAAGCGUUAUCCGGAUUCACUGGGUUUAAAGGGUGCGUAGGUGGGCUGGUAAGUCAGUGGGGAAAUCUCCAGGCUUAACUUGGAAACUGCCAUUGAUACUAUCAGUCUUGAAUACCGUGGAGGUCAGCGGAAUAUGUCAUGUAGCGGUGAAAUGCUUAGAUAUGACAUAGAACACCAAUUGCGAAGGCAGCUGGCUACACGAAUAUUGACACUGAUGCACGAAAGCGUGGGGAUCAAACAGG